UGUGUGUCUCCCACCACCCCAGAGAAAGCCAAGGUGCUCCUCUUCCUCAUAACCUACCCACUUUUUCUUUCAGCCUCCCAGCAGCAAAAGCACCCCUGCAGCCAAGGAGAUUUCCCUGCUUGACCUAGAGGACUGUGAGUCUGAGUAGUAGAAGGCAUGGGGGAAGGGAGCCCAAUGUGACUUAAGAGGCUGAGAUCUGGGGUGUUUGUCCUGGGUCUACCUAGUUUCCGGAAGGCUCUGUGUCUCGCUGUCCACGGUGCUGAAUUCUGCUCUUUGAGCCCUGGGCUCCUCUCAAGUCAAGCCAAGCCCAGUUCCCUCUUCCUUGUUAGUUAUCUUUCUUCUUCCCUCUCCCCUCCUAGUCACCUCUCCUAGUGUCCAGCCUGUGUCUCCUCCCAUGGUUGUGUCCACCAGUUUGGCUGCUGACCUGGAAGGUCUGACACUUACAGACUCGUCUCUGGUGCCUUCGGUGAGCUGGGGGAGGGAUUCAACUAAUUGCUGUAUUCUGCGGUGUGGUCCUGUGUGGAACAACCCGGGAUUUAGUGAUUGGGACACCUUUAGGUCCAAAUUUUUCAGGCUGGCUCUAGGUAAGACAGGGUUGGGGUUCACAAUCCUUUGCCUUUUUUCCUCCUCACGUCCCUUGUCUUCCUCUCUAGCUGCUGAGUCCAGUGUCCAGCAUUGGGAGGCAGGAGCUGCUGCACCGGGUAGCUGGAGAGGGACUGGCUGUGGACUAUGCCUUCAGCCGCCAGCCUUUCUCUGGGGAUCCCCACAUGGUGUCUCUGCAUAUCUACUUCUCCAAC
rnacentral:lncRNA from 1 species